UACGAAGGGGGGCUAGCGUUGCUCGGAAUCACUGGGCGUAAAGGGUGCGUAGGCGGGUCUUUAAGUCAGGGGUGAAAUCCUGGAGCUCAACUCCAGAACUGCCUUUGAUACUGAGGAUCUUGAGUUCGGGAGAGGUGAGUGGAACUGCGAGUGUAGAGGUGAAAUUCGUAGAUAUUGGGAAGAACACCGGUGGCGAAGGCGGCUCACUGGCCCGAUACUGACGCUGAGGCACGAAAGCGUGGGGAGCAAACAGGG
rnacentral:rRNA from 1 species